CAGCAGCCGCGGUAAUACAGAGGAUGCAAGCGUUAUCCGGAAUGAUUGGGCGUAAAGCGUCUGUAGGUGGCUUUUCAAGUCCGCCGUCAAAUCCCAAGGCUCAACCUUGGACAGGCGGUGGAAACUACCAAGCUGGGGUACGGUAGGGGCAGAGGGAAUUUCCGGUGGAGCGGUGAAAUGCGUUGAGAUCAGAAAGAACACCAACGGCGAAAGCACUCUGCUGGGCCGACACUGACACUGAGAGACGAAAGCUAGGGGAGCAAAUGGGAUUAGAUACCCGUGUAGUCCCUGUCUCUUAUAC
rnacentral:rRNA from 1 species